rnacentral:rRNA from 1 species
UUAAGUUAUUAAGGGCGCACGGUGGAUGCCUUGGCACUAGAAGCCGAUGAAGGACGUUACUAACGACGAUAUGCUUUGGGUAGCUGUAAGUAAGCGUUGAUCCAGAGAUUUCCGAAUGGGGGAACCCAGCAUGAGUUAUGUCAUGUUAUCGACAUGUGAAUUCAUAGCAUGUCAGAAGGCAGACCCGGAGAACUGAAACAUCUUAGUACCCGGAGGAAGAGAAAGAAAAAUCGAUUCCCUGAGUAGCGGCGAGCGAAACGGGAAGAGCCCAAACCAACAAGCUUGCUUGUUGGGGUUGUAGGACACUCUAUACGGAGUUACAAAAGAACAUGUUAGACGAAUCAUCUGGAAAGAUGAAUCAAAGAAGGUAAUAAUCCUGUAGUCGAAAACAUAUUCUCUCUUGAGUGGAUCCUGAGUACGACGGAGCACGUGAAAUUCCGUCGGAAUCUGGGAGGACCAUCUCCUAAGGCUAAAUACUCUCUAGUGACCGAUAGUGAACCAGUACCGUGAGGGAAAGGUGAAAAGUACCCCGGAAGGGGAGUGAAAGAGAACUUGAAACCGUGUGCUUACAAGUAGUCAGAGCCCGUUAAUGGGUGAUGGCGUGCCUUUUGUAGAAUGAACCGGCGAGUUACGAUCUGAUGCAAGGUUAAGCAGCAAAUGUGGAGCCGCAGCGAAAGCGAGUCUGAAUAGGGCGUUGAGUAUUUGGUCGUAGACCCGAAACCAGGUGAUCUACCCUUGGUCAGGUUGAAGUUCAGGUAACACUGAAUGGAGGACCGAACCGACUUACGUUGAAAAGUGAGCGGAUGAACUGAGGGUAGCGGAGAAAUUCCAAUCGAACUUGGAGAUAGCUGGUUCUCUCCGAAAUAGCUUUAGGGCUAGCCUCAAGUGAUGAUUAUUGGAGGUAGAGCACUGUUUGGACGAGGGGCCCCUCUCGGGUUACCGAAUUCAGACAAACUCCGAAUGCCAAUUAAUUUAACUUGGGAGUCAGAACAUGGGUGAUAAGGUCCGUGUUCGAAAGGGAAACAGCCCAGACCACCAGCUAAGGUCCCAAAAUAUAUGUUAAGUGGAAAAGGAUGUGGCGUUGCCCAGACAACUAGGAUGUUGGCUUAGAAGCAGCCAUCAUUUAAAGAGUGCGUAAUAGCUCACUAGUCGAGUGACACUGCGCCGAAAAUGUACCGGGGCUAAACAUAUUACCGAAGCUGUGGAUUGUCCUUUGGACAAUGGUAGGAGAGCGUUCUAAGGGCGUCGAAGCAUGAUCGCAAGGACAUGUGGAGCGCUUAGAAGUGAGAAUGCCGGUGUGAGUAGCGAAAGACGGGUGAGAAUCCCGUCCACCGAUUGACUAAGGUUUCCAGAGGAAGGCUCGUCCGCUCUGGGUUAGUCGGGUCCUAAGCUGAGGCCGACAGGCGUAGGCGAUGGAUAACAGGUUGAUAUUCCUGUACCACCUAGUAUCGUUUUAAUCGAUGGGGGGACGCAGUAGGAUAGGCGAAGCGUGCUGUUGGAGUGCACGUCCAAGCAGUAAGGCUGAGUGUUAGGCAAAUCCGGCACUCAUAAGGCUGAGCUGUGAUGGGGAGAGGAAAUUGUUUCCUCGAGUCGUUGAUUUCACACUGCCGAGAAAAGCCUCUAGAUAGAUAACAGGUGCCCGUACCGCAAACCGACACAGGUAGUCAAGAUGAGAAUUCUAAGGUGAGCGAGCGAACUCUCGUUAAGGAACUCGGCAAAAUGACCCCGUAACUUCGGGAGAAGGGGUGCUCUUUAGGGUUCACGCCCAGAAGAGCCGCAGUGAAUAGGCCCAAGCGACUGUUUAUCAAAAACACAGGUCUCUGCUAAACCGUAAGGUGAUGUAUAGGGGCUGACGCCUGCCCGGUGCUGGAAGGUUAAGAGGAGUGGUUAGCUUCUGCGAAGCUACGAAUCGAAGCCCCAGUAAACGGCGGCCGUAACUAUAACGGUCCUAAGGUAGCGAAAUUCCUUGUCGGGUAAGUUCCGACCCGCACGAAAGGCGUAACGAUUUGGGCACUGUCUCAACGAGAGACUCGGUGAAAUCAUAGUACCUGUGAA